ensembl:lncRNA
GUUGUUACUUUGUUUUCAGUGCAGACUGGCUGUGUUGUGUAACAUUACCAAAAAACUAAAAUCCUCUUCAUUAUCUGUUCUUCAGGCUGUACUUUAUGACCAUGACCGGAGCAGAAUCAGCUCUCUGCAGAAAGAUGAAUCUGACCCCAGAGCUCUGUCCUACAUCUACCGACACGAAGACACCUACAUUCUGUUCUACAUCAGGACGGCCACUCUGGCAGAUCCAGUCCUGGCUGACAUCGAGACGGUUUGUCGGGGUUUGGAGCAUGAGACACCACAGGAACAUCCACAGGCACCGACACAUGUCAGAGAAAAUCUUUACUUUGUUUGUCUAUUGGAGGGGUUUCAUGUGGGUGUGUUUUUUGUGUGUGUUUUUUUUUACCAGUGUUGUUUGUUUGUUUCAGACCAGUCCUCCACUGCUUCUAAAUGACGUUUCAGCCCCUCCAGCAGAGGUGAAUGAAGAAUAACAACACUUAAGACUCCUGAUCUUUUUCUAAAGUUUAUUGUUGAACAAUUCUUGAUCUUUGUUUCCCCUUAAUGGUGACGGUCACAUGUACAAACGUCUUCAGUGUUUGAAUGUGCUGUUAUUUUCAGGGACCAGCUUUAGAGAAUAUCUUUAGUCCACCAGACUCUUCAUCAGGACCUUCACACCAGGUAAAAUCAACAAAACCGUAACACCUGAAUGUUUUAAUCCACACUGUCUUACAGCACAAUGAGGGAUGAUUUGUCAUUCAUAUCCAUUAACAGUUCUGCCACUUUACUGUUGGUUGAUGACUGUUUGAUUGAGAAAACUGUUUUAUUAAACACAGACUAUAGUGUUUUCUGUUUCUCUGCCUACAGGCUUCUUCCACGAAUGAGUUGAUGGAAAUCUUCUCCCCCAAGAUGGAAUCACCAAUGGUGCCCAGCCAGAGUCUAUGUACCAGUCAGCCAGGUCAGUGAACCAGUUACUGUGUAAGAUAUGGAUGAAGCUGGGUUUAAUGUCUCAAUCUCUAGUUUCAAAUCUUCUUUAAUUCAGAGUGAUGUUCAUUUUGUAAAAUAGAUGAUACGCAGGGUACGCUUGGGUACAUGGCUACCUUGUGAUUGGUAUUUGAGUUCUCAGUCAGAUCUGAUUAGCGCCACCAUUUUAUCCCAGUACUGUCAAAUUUGGCUCCAAUUGGUUUUUUGCUGUAAUGCCAAACUCAGGGCUUUAAAAUGGUAGUCCACAAACUGAAGGAUGACGUCACAGUGGGUUUACACUUGGUUGCGACGUGAGGCCGACGUGAGAUGUUUUGCGAGUCUCUCAGAGACUCUGAGUCUCUUUUGCUCGAGUUACCAAAGACUCAAACCAUUCAUCUUACAACUCAAACAUGUCAUUUUUAGAAGUAGUUUGUUGAUUCUUCUUAAAAAAUUAUUAAAAUUCAUAGCCUAUAAACUAUAUUGUAUUCUUAACAUAUUAAAGAGUCCCAUCUGUUUACUUAUAUUAUAUAAUAUAUAAUAUAUAUAUAAUAUUUACGAUUGUCAUUUGAGGUUUUUUUGUAAUAAAUGUCCAUCACAGGUUGUUAUGACCAUUUGUGAUUUCCAAUCUAUUUGAUGUUAAUAUGCAUUAAACUGUGAUCAACCGGACUUGCUUUACGGUACGUAUUAUGAAACCAACGCUAUCUAAAUAAGAUACACAUAGAGAAUAUGUAAGGGAUAAUAGAAUGAAUCAGGACGAAUCAGGUUCUUCCGGUUCUUCCUGUCAGGACUUAUUUUCCCAAUAAUGACCGCUGUUCUAUACAUUAUCCCGCUUAUUACACGGCUACUUGCCAACACGGAAAACAAAUUCGCACAGUGUGUCUUUUUACAAUGUAUUUGUUACCAUUCAUAGUGUUUUUCAGCAGAGAAAUAUAGUUCACCAAACCGACGCCGUUUCGCUUCUCCCUCUUCGCUGCUUUCCUCUCUUUUUCUUUUCUUGACCGGUGACGACAACUCAGCCUUUUGCCAAGACUCAAAAUCUUCCAUAUUCUAUCCAUAUUUUCCAAAAAAUUUAAGUUAAUGUGAAACUCAUCCAUACUAGUGGCCUAGGAGUACAUUUUUUUCCGAUAUGAAGUAGACUACAGAUCAGCUGACGUCGCUUAGUGACAGAAGACGCUGGGGUGAUAAGUGACCGGACUACUUAAGGAGCGAAGAUUUUAGAGCGAGGAGUGCUACGAAAUACGUGAAUCAGAGGCAAAAAGGCCCCUUCCCUUGACGACAGUCAAAUAUGCUUAGCAGCGGUCAAUUAUACGAAAAUAAUUGACCGCCAAACGUUGGGAAGGUCCAUUCAAGUGAAUGGAGCAUUCUACAGCAUUAAGAAGAGCUGCGUAAUAAGAUAUAAUAUAUAGGGGGGGUACAUUAUUUUGAUUAAAUGAAUGACAUGCAGGAUUUUCCAUGAAAAAAACUAUGUAUGGAUUCAUAUAAAAAGUCUUCUAUUUUAAUCAUGACUUAUGAUGCACUAGAAGUGUAGCUGUAUCUCCAGAGAUCCUGCCGUCUGCCUGUAUUUUCUUCUGCUCUGUUAGAGUGUUUCUAGAAGUAAGCGGUUCUUGAGGUAUUAGUAUAGUAUAAAAUAGUUCAUUGUUGAGUCUCAUUCCCAACCAAAAGUGAUGGUGUUUGAUGACCAGGGGAUGGUAUGUUUACUAACAGCAAAUGACAAAUCCUGCGUAGUAUACCUUAGAUUUUAGCAACUACCGUUUGUAGUGUUUUGUUUGUAGGCUUAACAGGCACGGACACAAAAUGACAGGACAUGAAGGCGUAGAAUAUGAUAACAGUACAGCCCUUUCCACAUUAUGGGUGUGCUCUCAUGCAAAUAUCACAUCAGGCAAACAGACAAACAAUGAUCACUUUCCUUUUCUUGAUUUCAAGACGACUCACUGUUGGCAUCGCUGUCUAUCUGAAUCAGAGAUUUAACACAUCUGUGUUGUGUGACCACACUUCACACUGUGGCGUUCAAACUGUGGUCGAAUGAAACAGUUGAAUAAUAUUUCAGUGUGCGCCAGAUUUAAACAAACCACUUUAUCUCACUAUAAACAAGUCAAGAGAGCAGCGAUCUGGAGCCUCACUGAUCCUCUUAAACCAAUAACCUUUGACCUGGGGGUGCCCGAGAGAUGCACACAGUAUUUUCCCAUGUUCCCAUAUUUGAUAUAUGUUUUCCCAUGGCACGGCUGAAGAAGAGCCAAGUUUCAGUCGCGCUUUAAUAUGAGAGGAAUGUGCAGUGUUCACUGUGUAUAAACGAUGAAACGAGUUAUCUCAGAUGUAUUUUGCCUCACUCGUCACAUGCUCAGUUCCCACACUGAAGGAUUCAGUCAGGCCGUCUCAACCUUCACCUCUUACUCUGCUAAAACCGCCAUGUAUGGAACGACAGCCAUAAGCACUGGACUCGAUUAUUACUAGAAUACGAACACGUUGGUUGGCGCUUGUCUCCAGAGUGUGUGAGUGGGCGGUAGUGUGAUGUUCAUGCAGUCCAGUAAAGGUUAAAAAGGCGGUGUGAUUCAUGUAUUCAACACCAGAGGCCGAGGAUUUCUUUUUUUUAUGAUUGGUAAAAAGCAUGAUUAAACAAUAUACUUGACACUAGAUUUACAGGUCACCCCACUCACGACACACCAAUAAAACACAUUAUGAAAUACAAUAAUAAUGACGAUAAGAAGAGUAAUAAGAAAUAAAAACUAUUUAGAAAAUGGAUUUAAAGGAGAAGACAGUAAUAACCAAAUUAGAAAAAAUAGAAAGGAGAUAGUGGAAAGAGAAGAUUGAAAUAAAAUAUGUUUUAUAUUUGUGUUUUAUUUUGUUGGGUUCAGUGUA